ensembl:lncRNA
CCGCUUGCUGUUUGUUUAUUUGCUUCGUACAAAGGGCUCCCACCACAUAAUCCAGACAAUUUUGCAAAUCUAUCAAGGUCAUUUUGAAUUCUAAGCCUUUCUUGUGAUGGGCUUGUGUUUCUUCCCAGCCUCAAACCAUCUGCAAGCACCACCAGCAACCUGCAGUUCUAACGAUGGAAAAUUUUCCAUGGCAAAGCAGCUGAUUAAAGCUUUGGACUUGUUGAACUCAUAUCACAUGUAAAUCUAUUUUAGCUUUAAUGCGUACUUCCUGUUGUGUGGGAUGAUCUCUACUCUGCCAUUUCAGGAAGAAAAAAAAGAUGAAUCAAGCAUGUGGGAACACAAAGGAAGAUACAAGGUUAUGUGCCUUUCAGCACCUUUCUGUUUUUUCUCCUCAUUUUUUUUUUCCCCCAGAAGGAAAGGACAAUCCUUAUAUAUAUAUAUAACUAGAAAUGGAUGAAUGUGAAAAUGCCCUAAGUACUGAG